GACGAACGCUGGCGGCGUGCUUAACACAUGCAAGUCGAACGGAAAGGCCCUGCUUUUGUCGGGUGCUCGAGUGGCGAACGGGUGAGUAACACGUGAGUAAACUGCCUUUGACUUUGGGAUAACUUCAGGAAACUGGGGCUAAUACCGGAUAGGAGCACCGGCUGCAUGGUGGGGGCUGGAAAGUUUCGGCGGUAGGGGUUGGACUCGCGGGUUAUCAGCUUGUGGGUGGGGUAGUGGCUUACCAAGGCGUGGACGGGUAGCCGGCCUGAGAGAGUGACCGACCACACUGAGACUUAGGGGAGGCCGAGACGGCUACUGGAGGCAGCAGUGGGAAAUAUUGCACAAUGGGCGGAGGCCGUAUGCAGCAACGCCGCGUGCUGUAUAACGGCCUUCUGGUGAUAGACCUCUUUCGCCUUAGACGAAGCGUGAGUGACGGUAAUGGGUAGAAAAACACCGGCUAACUACGUG
rnacentral:rRNA from 1 species